CCUACGGGUGGCAGCAGUGAGGAAUAUUGGUCAAUGGCCGGAAGGCUGAACCAGCCAUGCCGCGUGAAGGUCAGUGCCCUAUGGGCGUUAAACUUCUUUUGUGCGGGAGCAAUAAUGGUCACGUGUGGCCAGACGAGAGUACCGUACGAAUAAGCAUCGGCUAACUCCGUGCCAGCAGCCGCGGUAAUACGGGGGAUGCAAGCGUUAUCCGGAUUUAUUGGGUUUAAAGGGUUGGUAGGCUGUUAGGUAAGUCAGCGGUGAAAUGCCCCCGCUCAACGGGGUGAAGUGCCAUUGAUACUGCCUGGCUGGAAUGCGGAUGCCGUGGGAGGAAUGUGUGGUGUAGCGGUGAAAUGCAUAGAUAUCACACAGAACACCGAUUGCGAAGGCAUCUCACGAAUCCGCGAUUGACGCUGAUGCACGAAAGCGUGGGUAUCAAACAGGAUUAGAUACCCUUGUAGUC
rnacentral:rRNA from 1 species